AUAAAAAUAGAAAACAACGAAAAUGAACUGAUCAUUAAAGUACUCAUUAACACAAGCUGUGCAUCAUUUUUCAGAUUUAGCUAGCCCUUCGAGCUUGCCUACAGUGGAGUUAUGGAGGUCUUCACCUGACCAGAUUGGAAACACCAGAAGACUC